CUAUUCACUAUAUAGGGCACAUCAACACCAACAUCAGUCCACAUUGGACAUGUCCAAAAACAUGUGCCCUAUU